rnacentral:tRNA from 8 species
CGCGGGGUGGAGCAGUGGUAGCUCGUCGGGCUCAUAACCCGAAGGUCGGGGGUUCGAAUCCCUCCCCCGCUACCA